GCAUAUCAAUAAGCGGAGGAAAAGAAACUAACAAGGAUUCCCCUAGUAACGGCGAGUGAAGCGGGAUGAGCUCAAAUUUAAAAUCUGGCUGGUUUACUAGUCCGAAUUGUAGUUUAUAGAAGCGUUUUCGGUGGCAGCCUGGGUAUAAAUCCUUUGGAAUAGGGUAUCAUAGAGGGUGAGAAUCCCGUCUUUGACUCAGUGCAUGCUACUAUGUGAUACGUUUUCAAAGAGUCGAGUUGUUUGGGAAUGCAGCUCAAAAUGGGUGGUAAAUUUCAUCUAAAGCUAAAUAUUGGCGAGAGACCGAUAGCGAACAAGUACCGUGAGGGAAAGAUGAAAAGAACUUUGAAAAGAGAGUUAAACAGUGCGUGAAAUUGUUGAAAGGGAAACGUUUGACACCAGUUAUGCGGGUGGAAAAUCAGUCUUUUGCAAUAGGGAGUUGUGGGCGUUCAGACCGCAAGGCUGGCGUUUGCCUCAUCUUUGUUGUAAGUGAUGCACUUUUUCAUUUGCAGGUCAACAUCAGUUUGCUCUGCUGGACAAAACUCCAAGGGAAGGUGGCAGCUUAGGCUGUGUUAUAGCCCUGGAGCGAUACAGUGGGGUGGACUGAGGUUUCGCAGUGUGUGCUCUCGGGCAAGGCUGACUGGGUGCUAUGGGAUUGUUCGGCGUACAAUGCAUGCAUUUUGCGUCGUGUCUUUUUCAUACUCGCUCAACUCGGCUCUUCCACGCUUAGGAUGUUGACUUAAUGGUUUUAAACGACCCGUCUUGAAACACGGACCAAGGAGUCUAACAUAUAUGCAAGUGUUUGGGUGGCAAACCCAUGCGCGUAAUGAAAGUGAACGUAGGUGCGAUCCGCAAGGUGCAGCAUCGACCGAUCUUGAUAUUUUUGGAUAGAUUUGAGUAAGAGCAUAUAUGCUGGGACCCGAAAGAUGGUGAACUAUGCCUGAAUAGGGUGAAGCCAGAGGAAACUCUGGUGGAGGCUCGUAGCGAUUCUGACGUGCAAAUCGAUCGUCAAAUUUGGGUAUAGGGGCGAAAGACUAAUCGAACCAUCUAGUAGCUGUCU
rnacentral:rRNA from 1 species